AUGCAAGUUAUGAAGAUCAAGCUUCAACCAUAACAAAAAAGAGCAUAUAAAGGAUUUACAAAUUCAUGUACUAAGUUUGUGCCGCUAAAGUCCAAGUCAUUGUAAAGAAGAACUGCCAAUCAGGGUUAGCUCAAUUGGUACAAAUACAAUGAAAUCAAGUUGGCUAAAAGAUAAUAGGUUCAAAUACCACUGAUGGACCUUCAUUGAUAGGUUAUCUGUAAGUACCAAGUCUACAUUUGCAUUGUAAGUCCUCAUUGAGGCUUGCAAUAUGCCCUUAUGUUGGAAUAAGGCAAGCUCAUCUCCCCUGUACUAUUUUUUUUUUGUCCAAGAGAAUUGUAGAAAAGAGCCAAACUUUUUCCUCUAAAAUAAAUGAACCAAUUUCCUCAAAUUGAAAAUAUGGAAAUGUCGUUCAGAAAAUCAUAACACCUAUGGUGAAUACGUUUUUCCUAUUUACUACGUGACCUUAGCUGAGAGAAAAAAAGGAGAAAUCAUAAUCAGCACAUGCAUUGUUGUAAUACAAAACAAAAGCAAACCCACGAUUCUUACUUGGAUUUUGAG
rnacentral:lncRNA from 1 species